CGGGGUGUAGCCCAGUUGGUCCAAGGCGCUGGCAUGGGGUGCCAGAGAUCGGGAGUUCAAAUCUCCCCACCCCGACCA
rnacentral:tRNA from 1 species